AAUUUAUUAAGCAGUUGCUUUUAAAAAUCGAUUACCCUCCCCCUCCUUUAAUAUGAGGUAAGGAGGGGGAGGGGGUAAGGCUGUGCAGUUGUAUGCGGCAGAGAUGGUGCAAUAAAUAUGAUCUCUGAUGAUAUCUGACAAUUUUUGAAGGGUCCCAAACGGAGCCUCGUUGAUUGACAUCACAGGCAUCAAUAACGGUUCUGAUGAUGGUCCAUUUCAAGACGGAAGAUUCUGCGUGCUAAUAACUAUUCAAAUAAUUAGGUCAACAAAUGGCCGUAAAGAGUUUUUUCAUAAUUUAUCGUUAACUUCGACAAUAGCAGAUACAUAUUAUUAUAAUGUAAGCUAAGGGUUUUAAAUACUUUUAAUAGAUUCUAUACUCCGAAUAAUUUAAAAACUUUAUAAGCAAUUUCUUCAAAUAUAGACCUAAUAUUAUAUUCAUUCUAAUAUUAGCUUAUGUAAGUCUUAAAGUGGUAAAACACUAAAUGGUAACGGUCAUAAUAUCAGUAGAUUUGCUAAGAUGAAUAAGAUAUCUUUGUGUAUAUAAAAAUAGAAGAAGUCUCAUGAUUUAAUUAAAAAAAAUGUAUUUGAAAUUUGGUAUUACUUAAAUCUGGUUUGUGUGCUUUCGCGAAAUAACCCAAUUUUAAUAGAUCGCUA